UACGAAGGGGGCGAGCGUUGUUCGGAUUUACUGGGCGUAAAGGGCGCGCAGGCGGUUCUGUUUGUCGAGUGUGAAAGCCCCGGGCUCAACCUGGGAACUGCGCUCGAAACGGCGGAACUAGAGUUCGGGAGAGGAGAGUGGAAUUCCCAGUGUAGAGGUGAAAUUCGUAGAUAUUGGGAAGAACACCGGUGGCGAAGGCGGCUCUCUGGACCGAUACUGACGCUGAGGCGCGAAAGCGUGGGGAGCGAACAGG
rnacentral:rRNA from 1 species